GAUGAACGCUGGCGGCGCGCUUAACACAUGCAAGUCGAACGGUAAGGCCCCUUCGGGGGUACACGAGUGGCGAACGGGUGAGUAACACGUGAGCAACCUGCCCUUGACUCUGGGAUAGCAGUUGGAAACAGCUGCUAAUACCGGAUACGACCUUCGAUGACAUCAUCUGGAGGUGGAAAGCGCUUUAGCGGUCAAGGAUGGGCUCGCGGCCUAUCAGCUUGUGGUGAGGUAACGGCUCACCAAGGCUUCGACGGGUAGCCGGCCUGAGAGGGCGACCGGCCACACUGGGACUGAGAUACGGCCCAGACUCCUACGGGAGGCAGCAGUGGGGAAUAUUGCACAAUGGGCGCAAGCCUGAUGCAGCAACGCCGCGUGCGGGAUGACGGCCUUCGGGUUGUAAACCGCUUUCAGUUCCGACGAAGCGCAAGUGACGGUAGGAACAGAAGAAGGACCGGCCAACUACGUGCCAGCCGCCGCAGUAA
rnacentral:rRNA from 1 species